AGAACCUUUCUGUGAUACUGAGAAUGAUCUAUAUCUGCCCCACCACUCAUGCUAGCUACUAAGGUACAUGUGACCACUGACAACUUAAAAUGUAACCAGUAUAACUGAGGAAUUUUUUUUUUUUUUUUUUUUUUUUUUUACAUUUUAUUUCAUUUUAACUCAUUUAAACUUGAACAGCUACCUGUGGCUAGUGGACAGCACGGGUCCAGACUCUUUAAGGGCUUGUGCUGAGCUACAAACACACAGCAUGAAAUAACACUGUUUUAGAACUGAUGAAGACAGUUCCCAGCCAUUUCCCACCUUAAAAAGUUUAUAUUGGGGGGUGCGCACCUAGGUGGCUCAGUCAGUUAACCAUUGGACUCUUGAUCUUAACUUGGGUCUUGAUCUCAGGGUCAUGAGUUCAAGCCUGAUGUUGGACUCCACACUGGGUGUGGAGCCUAUUAAAAAAAAAAAAAAAAAAAAAAAAAAUAAAAAUUUUUCAACUGUUUAUCUAGUCAUGAGCCUGAACUCCUGAUAAAUUCUGCAGACACUGACUCUACUAGCAUGAUCCAUAUCUCCAUCAAUGACCAAGUAGAGGCAGUUUUCAACUGAAUUAUUUCCAAAGAAUCACACUUUUACGGUAUACUGCAUUUAUUAUUAUUUUAAAUUAAGGAAUGUAUCUUUGAAAUAUUAGAGGGUUAUUAGUAAAUAAAUAACAUAUAUAGCAUAAGUAAGGUAUCUUCCAUAUUGAUUAACAGAUCAAGUAAAAUUAUCCUUCUUCAUGUAAGUAGACAGUGGGAACAUGAAAAUUGUUUGUUGUUUUUUUCUACUCUUGUCUCUAAUUUAAUAUUUAUGACUUUGGUCUUGAUUUCCAUGAGUUAUUUCCUGUGUGACUCAGGCAAUUUUUACUGAUGAAGAAAAGACUUCUGUGACAUUUUUUCCUGGAAGCUAGCAUCAAAUUGUUGACUUCUUUUCAGUGACCUUCAAAGGGUAAUGAUAAUGCAUCAUUACUAAUCUAUAUUGAAGUUGAACUUUUAACCUUUAGACCAAGAAUUGUAUAUAUUGGACAUCUAUAUUCAUGAUUUCUAUAUUUUAUUUCAUUUCAUUUUUUGAUAGUUAAUGUAUUUUAUUUCUUUGUGAAAAACUUAUCAAGAGUGCUUUCACUGUGCUUGCCUCCUAAUUAUUUUUGUAUUUUUUAGAAUAUUUACCUUUUGAGGCAUCUGUGAAAAGACAUGGGGAAUUCAUAUAAAUGUAUUUGUAAGAGUAGUUAGGAACUUUAGGACAAAAUUAUAUGCAGUUCAAUUACUUUAAGAUUGAUAAUGGCCACAAAAAGUGUGACACACAUAUUGUACAAAAGCAGUCUAUGGUUCCUUUAAUGAGCAGUUAUUGUGUAUAGACCAUGUAACUACUCUUCCAAUUGUAUAAAAUUCCAGUUUUAUCUUGAUUGCUAGUAACUUAAAUCAAGUAGGUACAUAUUCAUAGUUCAACUGAAAAGGAUUUGCUAUUCUUCACUUAGCAGUAAAUUUGAGUUAGUAGCAACUAAAAGUUUUAGAAAUAUAAAACAGAUUAUAUAACCUUAGAUUUUGUAUGCCUUUAUACAUGAAACCUAGUACUACAUGCUUAUACAGCUGUGAAGUCGUGUAGAACUCAUACUGUGGUGAUACCAGUUCUCAUUUCCAGCCAUGGGUGGUUUUAGGACAGAACUGAUAGGCACAAAUGUGGAGUUUUUUUGAUGAGGUCUGUUCUUCCAUUGAAACUGAACACAUUAUUUCGAGUCAUAUAUAUACUUGGUUGCUGAAUCUCUCAUUACUACCUUUGGAUAGGUAAGCAAAGGAAAUGCUUUCUCUCCAAGCUUCCUACAAAAUUCUACUAUUAUAUCUUCGAUACUUAGCAGGAUACUUAGCAGCCCAACUGAUUAUUCCAAUUAAAUGAGGGCUUAACCCAAAUAUAACAGAAAAUAACAUUCAGACAAGGGGUCAUCUUUCUCUCAUCUCUAGAUGUAAAACAUGCAAGAGAUUCAUUAGGAUACUCUUUGUCAAGAUCUUCAGAACGGAGGGGUCUGAGAAUGGAUACAAUUAAUGUGUAGUAAUCAUACACUAGUUGUCUAACCAGCCUUUAUCUUUAAACUGGAAAUAAUAUUUUUUGCCUUUGGGAAGAUAGAAUCUCCCAAAUACAAAAAUGUAGUAAAGGCUGCCAAUUAUAGCAACUAAUUCUCUUUAUAAAAAUAUAAUCUAAAGCAGUCACAGUUUUUCCCUGGAAUUUUUUUAAAGUUGAAAACAAAAUAAUUCCCAAGUUUGCAAUCAAAAUAAUGUCUCUUGUGACUACAGGAUUAAGGUCUGGAGUCUAAAAACUAAUGGGCAGAGAGAA
rnacentral:lncRNA from 1 species